AUGCAGUUUAUUUCCACUAGAGACNGCAGGAAUAAAGAAUACCAAAGGAGAAGAAAGACCAGUCAUUUGGGAACAUAUGAAAAACCAGACCUCAACAGUAUAGAUCAGGACCUUGAUGACUACCUUCGAGUAUUUAACUCUGAAACGCCACUCCUUGUUUUUCUGGCUCGUCUGUGCCCUUCCCCCACCCCCCUUCCUUUCUAAUCUUCCUGCCAAAAUGAGCAAGCCAACUUAUUUUGGGAAUGUUACCUUCUCCUUCCCCCUAGCUGCCAUGAUCUGGAAGUACCUGUCCUGGUAUACCUAACAUACUGAAGAUCAGCAAUAACAUGCAGAUAUAGGGUGCUAGUCUAGACAGAAAAGAUACUUGUUUAAUUUGAUAAACGGUCUGUGCUUCCCAGUCACCAGAAGUUCUCUAAACUGAAGUCACUCAGAUGCAAAACUAAAAAACUUUCUAACAAAUGAAUUAAAAAGGAAAACAAAAAAGAAAACGUGCUCAAGUUCAUUUUUCAAAUUUUUUUUAUUACACUACAUUAAAGCCUGCUUUGGACAUCACGUGCUUCUCAUCUUGUCCCUUGCCUGUAUGUUUUGGAACUUUAAGGGAAUAGACAUUAAUUAGCUUGUACAGACUUUAUUCUUUCUAAUUCAAUUUCAUGUUCAAAAACCGCGUGAAAUAUGUUUUCUAGAAGUAUUCAACACAGAACUAUAAUUACUGCCAUUCUCUGUAGAGCUUAAAGGAAUUUAUUUAUGAAUUUACAUUUCAAAAUAAGUCAAUUUGUAACGUGCAAAAAAACUGGCAAUAUCAACAAAGAGCUUACCGGUUAAACAUCAUGCCCAGUUUCGAUAGAAAGCUUAAACUGAUCCUUCUCAAAAGCUAGAGCUGAGAAGGGGGCUGGCAGGAACUGGGCGACAUCCACCCAAACUGCGCCGUGCUGGAACGCUCGGGUGGAAGUGCUUCCCGUGCUUUUCCCUUCGGCAUCUGCCCUCCUUCCCCCAACCCACUGCUGAAGUCUCAGGCACGGUUCCUGCCUGGAGCAGUUUACUGGAUGGAGUUUAACACGGAGAACGGCUUCUCCAAGCAAAACACAACAUACUGGCAAGACUGGAUCUACACCAGGGACUUUUACUGACACAGCUACUUUGAUCAAGGAUCCUCUCUCCGCAUCCCUGACCAGCACAGCCGGGCCAGAAAACUGCAGCGCAAGCACAGCCUCAGAAGACCAAAGAACAUGACUAUGUUUUUGCAAAGCCAGCCUUGCGCAUACUGAACUGCAGCUUUCACCCCAUUUCAUAACAACUCCCCCCUCCAUCUCUGCAAAGACUGCUUUCAUUCGCCACGACAAGCACGGAGGAAACGCUGGUCUCCUCACCCCACUUAAACACCCCCCACAGAAUAAACACUGCGGCUUAGACCGCA
rnacentral:lncRNA from 1 species